GCCUUGCUUUCCGAGGGCGGCGUGCAGCCACAGUGCCCGCUGCGGGUGCUGGGGAAUGGCGCCUUACAGGCUGCCCACCUGCCUCCUCAGGGUGGAAGGCGGGGCUUGGGUGUGAGCGUGCUGAAUCAGAACUUUCCUGGAAAGUCGCCACUUGGUGUGGUCAGAGGAUCACUGAACAACUGCACAGAGCCUGUGCUUAAGAUGGCAGGAUCGCAAGACAGAGCAACUGGAGCAAGUCCUCAUUAAGAAGAGCCGCCCGAUGCAUUUGGACUGCGAUGUGUUACGCCCAUGAGAUUUCAGGGUUAAUUUGUUACCUGGCCGUGGCCUAUCCUCUUCCAGCAGAUACAGAGGCUACUGCAGUUUGCAACUUUGCAGAUACCAGCAGAGGAAGAAAAACCUGGGAGACUGCUGCUAACCUAAUGUGGAGACUUGACUUAAACUUCAGCCAGACAAAGGCGGAAUCUUAAUAUGGAGGGGCCUGGCUCUGCAGGGAGGUCACCUGGGCUGGCUGGAUUUCAAUCCAGUUACACAGCAAAAAAGUUACAACCCAAGCUUUGGCGAUGCUGAGCCUUCUACUCUCAGGGAUUCCAAAGCAUUUGAUAAACUCUUUCUUUGUUCCAUUGUUUACUGACUUCCUAGUGCUUGUCUUGUUCUGCAGUUAUUUAUUUAUUUUUAUUUAUUAGUUUUUACUUAUGAUCUACCCCUCUCUCCCAUCUCCCCGCAACCUGAAGAUAAGUGACUGGAGCAGAAUCCACUUCUGCUGAGAAGCUCUGGAUGACCACGGAUAAGCAGGAAGGCAUGUGACAUAUUGGCAAGUGAGUCAGACAGAAAGAGAGACGUGGGAUCGAGUCCUGGCAUUGCCCUUUCUAGCUAUUGUGUCCUUGGACAGGUAAUUUAGCUUCCCUGAGUCUGUUUUCUCAUCUGAAAAAUGAAGAUAGUAAUAAUUAUCCUCGUGGGGCUAUUGAAAAAGUUAAAAUAAUACAAGCAAAGCAUUUAACAUAGG
rnacentral:lncRNA from 10 species